rnacentral:rRNA from 1 species
CAGUAGCCACGGGAAUACGGAGGAUCCAAGCGUUAUCCGGAAUCAUUGGGUUUAAAGGGUCCGUAGGCGGUCUUGUAAGUCAGUGGUGAAAGCCCAUCGCUCAACGGUGGAACGGCCAUUGAUACUGCAGGACUUGAAUUAUUGGGAAGUAACUAGAAUAUGUAGUGUAGCGGUGAAAUGCUUAGAGAUUACAUGGAAUACCAAUUGCGAAGGCAGGUUACUACCAAUUGAUUGACGCUGAUGGACGAAAGCGUGGGUAGCGAACAGGAUUAGAUACCCGUGUAGUCCCUGUCUCUUAUAA